GCCAAACAACUAGCUUAAACACCAAAAUAAAUUAACAACAUAGAUAAUAAGUAUUUGACCUAAAACAAGUUAAUCAAAUCAUUUUUUACCUUAGUAUGGGCGACAGAAAAGGAUCAGCCAUAAAGCAAUAGAAAAAGUACCGCAAGGGAAAGUUGAAAGAGAAAUGAAACAACUCAUAUAAGCCAUAAAAACCAAAGACUAGAUCUUGUACCUUUUGCAUCAUGAUUUAGCAAGUCCAUUCAAGCAAAGAGAACUGUAGUUUGAGACCCCGAAACCAAGUGAGCUACCCCGAGGCAGCCUAUAUAAGCUAGGGCUAACCCGUCUCUGUGGCAAAAGAGUGGGAAGACCUCUGGGUAGGGGUGACAGACCUAUCGAACUUGGUGAUAGCUGGUUGCCUAGGAAAUGAAUAUAAGUUCAGCCUCGUACCCCCUAAAAUCAAAACACCUAUGAAAGAUUUAAGGAGAAAUACGAGAGUUAGUUUAAGGAGGUACAGCCCCUUAAACAAAGGAUACAACCUUAUACAGGAGAAUAAAGAUCAUAAUUCACAAAACAUAUUGUACCAGUGGGCCUAAAAGCAGCCACCUAAACAGAAAGCGUUAAAGCUCUGACAUAUAAAAGUUUAUUAUCCCGAUAAAAAAUCUCACUUCCCUAUUAAUACUAGGCUAUUCCAUGCCCCCAUGGAAGAAAUUAUGCUAAAAUGAGUAACAAGAAGAACUCGACCUUCUCCAAGCAUAAGUGUAAGUCAGAUCGGACAAACCACUGACAAUUAACGAACCCAAACAAAGAGGGCAAUGUGAACAACAUAAUAAUCAAGAAAACCUCACAAUUUUAAAUCGUUACCCCUACACCGGAAUGCAUCAUAGGAAAGACCAAAAGAAAAGGAAGGAACUCGGCAAACUCAAGCCUCGCCUGUUUACCAAAAACAUCGCCUCCUGCAUAGUUCAAGUAUAGGAGGUCCAGCCUGCCCAGUGACUACAAGUUUAACGGCCGCGGUAUUUUAACCGUGCAAAGGUAGCGCAAUCACUCGUCCUUUAAAUGGGGACCUGUAUGAAUGGUUAGACGAGGGCUUAACUGUCUCCCUUUUCCAGUCAGUGAAAUUGAUCUAUCCGUGCAGAAGCGGGUAUGACCAUACAAGACGAGAAGACCCUUUGGAGCUUUAGGUACAAGCCUCACUCAUGUAAAACAUAUUAUAAAAAAUCCAAACCCACAUGAAAAUGAGAACUUACCUUCGGUUGGGGCGACCACGGAGGAAAAAAUAGCCUCCGAGUGGAUUGGAUAACCUCCAGAACCAAGAAUAACAAUUCUAAGUAACAGAACAUCUGACUAAAUAUGACCCGGCCAUUUAAGCCGAUCAACGAACCAAGUUACCCAAGGGAUAACAGCGCAAUCCUCUUCCAGAGUUCAUAUCGACGAGGGGGUUUACGACCUCGAUGUUGGAUCAGGACAUCCUAAUGGUGCAGCCGCUAUUAAGGGUUCGUUUGUUCAACGAUUAAAGUCCUACGUGAUCUGAGUUCAGACCGGAGUAAUCCAGGUCAGUUUCUAUCUGUAAAGCCAUUCUUCCCAGUACGAAAGGAUCGGAAAAAGGGGGCCCACUCUCCAGGCACGCCCCACCCCAAAUUAAUGAAUCUAAAUAAAUUAAACAAUGUAGAGCAUAAUCAAUAACCCGAAACAAGGAAUA
rnacentral:rRNA from 1 species